GUUACGUUGUACUCACCCGACUGCUUAGUACGCUGCUCUGCACACAGUAAGUGCUCAAUAGGUACGAUUGAAUGAUCGACUCCAACUGGUCGCCAGAAACCGAGUGAAUCAGACCCAGCCUCAGCCUGUAAAGCUGCUUGAACUCUUUAGAGAAGAGCUCUGGGUAAAUGCAAGGAUGGCAGAGAAUAAAGCCCAAGUCAGAUUUUUCUGAAAAUGAAGAGGAUGCUGAGCCUGACUAUGAAAGGAAAGCCUCGAUCCUUGGGUAUCUUUAAGAUGCUCCAAAAUAGAUCUGAGUCCCAGCGCAAGAUGAGGAACUACUUCCCCGUUUCCCUGAAUCUGGGUCCUUCUGUCAACGCGCACGUUGGAAUCACCUGUGGCUCGACCAGAUACAGAUUUGAUUAAUUCCCGACCUCUCUAAAGCAGCAGAAGUGGCAUCCGUGGACGAAGGAUUGUUCAGAGACAGAGGAAAAGGGAUGGGAAGAAAUGGAGAGACACCGGAGGAGAUGGUUAAAAAAGGCCUCUAUUCUAGCCGGUGACGAGCGGGGUGAACGAAUCUCGUUCUCGGCGCCUCCUCCGCUUCUGCCCGUGGAUACUGGAGGGUGUGUAGGGUGUGUUUGUGUGGGUGUAGGUGUGUGCCCACGUGCGUAUCAGGUGGUGAGGUUGGGACGGGGAUGGUAAGGGACGAGUUGGCCCCCAGAAACUUCAAUAAGGAUCCAACUACUAGGGGGAGGCCUCCAUUCUCGUCAGGCAACCGCCCCCCUCUUCCGCUCCCCACCCCGCCCACACUCUGCAGCUCCCAGCAGCUCCCAGCAUUUCCCAGUCAGGCCUUCAGGCAAUCUCUCCCUUCACUGACUUUCCCUCAAUGGCUCUGAGGAAGGAAAUCCAGUUUUAGGGUUCGCCAGGAGGCUGAAGGUCAUGGCGAUAUCUCUGUGGGAGGGAGCUGACACACAUUCAGAGACUGAUCAACAUCAUUCAUAAUAAUAAUAAUAAUAAGAGCAUUUGUUCAUUCACUCAAUUCGAUCAUAUUUACUGAGCGCUU